CCUGGUUGAUCCUGGCAGUAGUCAUAUGCUUGUCUCAAAGAUUAAGCCAUGCAUGUGUAUGUAUGAACUAUUUCAAACUGUGAAACUAUGAAUGGCUCAUUAAAUCAGUUAUAGUUUGUUUGAUGGUAUGUGCUACUCAAAUAGCCGUAGUAAUUCUAGAGCUAAUACAUGCAACAAACCCCGACUUUCAGAAGGGAUGCAUUUAUUAGAUAAAAGGUUGACAUGGUCUUUGCUCAUUGCUCCGAUGAUUCAUGAUAACUCGACGGAUCACACAACCCUUAUGCCGGCGACGCAUCAUUCAAAUUUCUACCCUAUAAGCUUUCGAUGAUAGGAUAGGGGCCUACCAUGGCGGUGACGGGUGAUGGAGAAUUAGGGUUCAAUUCCGGAGAGGGAGCUUGAGAAACGGCUAUCACAUCCAAGGAAGGCAACAGGCGCGCAAAUUACCCAAUCCUGACACGAGGAGGUAGUGACAAUAAAUAGCAAUACUCUUCGAGUCUGGUAAUUGGAAUGAGUAUAAUCUAAAUCCCUUAACGAGGAUCCAUUAAAGGGCAUGUCUGAUGCCAGCAGCCAUAGUAAUUCCAACUCCAAUAGCGUAUAUUUAAGUUGUUACAGUUAAAAAGCUCGUAGUUGGACUUUGGUAUGGGUCGGUCCGCCUCGUGGUGUGCAUCGGUCGUCCUAUCCCUUCUAUCGAUGAUGCGUGCCUAGCUUUAACUGGUCGGGUAGUGCCUUCGACAUUAUAUCUUUAAAGAAAUUAGAGUGCUCAAAGCAAGCCCACGCUCUGGAUACAUUAGCAUGGGAUAACAUCACAGGAUUUCGGUCUUAUUGUGUUGGCCUUUGGGAUCGGAGUAAUGAUUAAAAGGGACAGUCGGAGGCAUUCGUAUUUCAUAGUCAGAGGUGAAAGUUGGGGGCUCGAAGACGAUCAGAUACCGUUCUAGUCUCAACCAUAAACAAUGUCGACCAGGGAUCGGCGGAUGUUGCUCUUAGGACUCCGCCGGUUGAUAGGACUCCAGUAGGGUUGAGUCCUAAUCUCCCUAGAAGUAAUCAAUAAAACCCUACUAGAUUGUAAUAAAGUCAUUCCUAUCUUAUAAAAGAGUAUGGCUAGGGUUUAGAUUAGCCCUUAGGGCUUAGUAGCCGCUGCCCCCAUUACUGGGUUGACAAGCACAGAUUUCAAGCAAGUGCAUAUUUCAGCCACGAGCGCCACUGUAAUAGGCAUUGCGGGUGGUUGUCCCCUCCCCCCUCCCCCCCUCGCAAGUGCAGAUUUCAGUAGUGAGCGCUGCUGCAGCAGGCAUUGCGAGUGGCCGUCUCCCGAGAUGCGCAAGCGCAGAUUUCAGGCAAAUGCAGAUUUAAGGCAUGAGUGCUACUGCAGUUGGCAUUGCUAGUGGUCAUCCCCCCUGCAAGUGCAUAUUUCAGCCGCGAACACUGCUGCAGCAGGCAUUGCGAGUGGCUAUCCCCCAGAUGCGCAAGUGCAACAAGUGGUUCCCCCAGAUGAGCAAGGCGCGAGUGCUGUUGCAGCAGCAGCCUAGUCCGUAAGCAGCAGCGGUAUGCAACUAGCUGGCUGACUGGUGCAGCAGCAUGGCAACCGAAG
rnacentral:rRNA from 1 species